GGAAGUAAAAGUCGUAACAAGGUCUCCGUUGGUGAACCAGCGGAGGGAUCAUUACAGAGUUGCAAAACUCCCUAAACCAUUGUGAACGUUACCUAAACCGUUGCUUCGGCGGGCGGCCCGGGUCCUGCCCGGCGCCCCUCGGCCCUCGCGGGCGCCCGCCGGAGGAAAACCAAACUAUUGCAUUGUAUGGCCUCUCUGAGUCUUCUGUACUGAAUAAGUCAAAACUUUCAACAACGGAUCUCUUGGUUCUGGCAUCGAUGAAGAACGCAGCGAAAUGCGAUAAGUAAUGUGAAUUGCAGAAUUCAGUGAAUCAUCGAAUCUUUGAACGCACAUUGCGCCCGCCAGUAUUCUGGCGGGCAUGCCUGUUCGAGCGUCAUUUCAACCAUCAAGCCCCGGGCUUGUGUUGGGGACCUGCGGCUGCCGCAGGCCCUGAAAUGCAGUGGCGGGCUCGCUGUCACUCCGAGCGUAGUAGUUACAUCUCGCUCUGGGCGUGCUGCGGGUUCCGGCCGUUAAAAGCCUUAUUUACCCAAGGUUGACCUCGGAUCAGGUAGGAAGACCCGCUGAACUUAAGCAUAUCAAUAAGCGGAGGA
rnacentral:rRNA from 2 species